CUGAAGACCUUGGGGACGAGGUUGGCUCCUUCGGGCCAAAAGCGAUUUCACAAGAGAGUUUGUAUUGCGGUCUUGAAGAAAAAUCCUUUCUACAAAACCGCUUUAAAAGAUAUGGGGAAAUCAUUCAUUGCCACACGGGAGGACUUUAUUGUACUUCGUACAGGGGGCAAUUUGGGAUGAACAGGGCGCAAAAGAGGCACGGAUCAAGGUCGGCAGCCUAGUAGAGGUACCACUGUAUACGCGUAUGAGAAAGGUUUCCACAAACUGAAACCAAAGAGCAGUUUGCGGUAGUACUUUCAAGUUCUACUCGUUUCGCGAUAAUCAGCGAAAAUACACAUGCAAUUUGCCACUUUUUUUCGCUAUCUAAUAGGCGACGGGCACUAGCAGAUCACGUGACUUUCUUGGGGGUGGGGGGCAAACUAUCGCGUGCUCAACCUUUUGGCGGCAAAAUAACAUCAACAAAACACAAGUUAUUUAGUCCUUACAAAUAAGCCAGAACGAUUCUCUUCAAAAGGGUUUACUUUUUUAAAGGUUUUUAUUUCUCUGGCGUGUCGAACGCAUCCCAUUCUGAGUUUAUUUUGGCUUGAAUUUGUCGAAAAGUCCCGUGAUCAGUUUAGUGAAGUCGCCUGUUACCUGACUAUUUUGACUAUUUUUUGUAAUUGCGAUAGCAUGAAGGAUUGGAACCCCGUUCCAAGAACACCCAGAAACAUUCCUUAUUACCACCUUUCCGCCUUCGUAGAGCCGGGUAAUAUUUUCAGAAAUUAUGGCGGUUUCAAGACCCUUUUAUGUGUGAAUAAACGCGGGUGUGCUUAAAGCGGGCUUCAUGUUCUCCUUAAUCAAUUCCCCCUUCUAAAGUCUAUAGGCCUGUUAAAAUCGCCUUCAUAGGAAUACCUAUUAACAACUAUUAUUGACCACUAUCCUAAAAGUUACAAUGCUAUUAAGGUGAUUCCAUCACUUGUCACACAGAGCUCACGUAAACGGUUCGAACAUUUAGUAUUUUCUCCAGAGCUUUGCGGUGUGGAUUUUCGUAGCCGUGCCCAGGGAUGAAUGCACGGCUUGCUCUCUUAGAAGCUCCGACUUUUCAUUGAUACAUGCAGUACGAACUUCUAAAUCAACAACACCACAAAACUCGGGAAUAAUCUCAACUUUGUUCAAUCCGUAAAUGUGAGUUCCCUAUGAUAGAGUUUUAACUUGAAAAAUUAAAAGUUGGGUAUAAUGCACGCAAAUGAUUUUGAAUAGUUCUCUCCAAAGGACCUGCUAUAACAGGAUAAACAUAAAAUGCUUAGAUCUUUAUCAGUACAUAAUCGUUUGAAUACCUCAAAAGAAAGGAAAACCGUUGAAAGAAAUUACUGAAACAUUUUGGGAACUUGAAAUCAGUUCGAGUUAUUGUGGAGCUCAAGUUAUCUGACUUCGAUAUAUUGGGGUUGUGGUUAUUUGAAAGAUAUAGAAAUCGAGGGAAUCACCUUAAACAACUUUCCGAAAAUCUUAUUUGUACAAUAUUUGCAGUUUACAGGCGUUUAUUAUUGUAAUAACUUCCCCCGUUAUACUGGUGCGGAAAGCACAACAGAGCUAGGCUCCAAAUCCAGUAACCCAGUGUGUGUAUUAUAUAUGUAAGCACUCGGGGUCGUCAACGCCAGAGGGGUUAUUGCGUCCCUAAUGCUUUUUUUACGUUCCUUCGACUCAGGCUUUAGUAUAGUGCAGCUUGAAGAGACGGAACCCUUAGUGACCUUAUCCGAAAGACACGGGGAAUAACUUCAACUCGCUUUUGAGAAACACGGAUCAAGUCAUGGACUCGGAAAAAUCCCCAUUCACAGCCAGGAUUCGAACCUAGGCCACAGCGUUAUGGACGGACCCGCUAACACCCUGGGCCGUCUGUGCUUCUAUGACACGAUUAGUUUUCAUACCGUAUUUUUGAAUAAAAAAUGUUAAAGUAACACA